AGAGUUUGAUCCUGGCUCAGGAUGAACGCUGGCGGUAUGCUUAACACAUGCAAGUCGAACGGAACCUUUCGGGGCUGAGUGGCGGACGGGUGAGUAACGCGUGAGAAUCUGCCUAAAGGACUGGGACAACAGCUGGAAACGGCUGCUAAUACCAGAUAUGCCAGAAAGUGAAAAGGGGUAACCCGCCUUUUGAUGAGCUCGCGUCUGAUUAGCUAGUUGGUAGGGUAAAGGCCUACCAAGGCUCCGAUCAGUAACUGGUCUGAGAGGAUGACCAGUCACACUGGGACUGAGACACGGCCCAGACUCCUACGGGAGGCAGCAGUGGGGAAUUUUCCGCAAUGGGCGCAAGCCUGACGGAGCAAUACCGCGUGAGGGAGGAAGGCUCUUGGGUCGUAAACCUCUUUUCUCAGGGAAGAACACAAUGACGGUACCUGAGGAAUCAGCAUCGGCUAACUCCGUGCCAGCAGCCGCGGUAAUACGGAGGAUGCAAGCGUUAUCCGGAAUGAUUGGGCGUAAAGCGUCCGCAGGUGGCAGUGUAAGUCUGCUGUCAAAGGUCAGGGCUCAACCCUGAACAGGCAGUGGAAACUACACAGCUAGAGUGCGGUGGGGGCAGAGGGAAUUCCCAGUGUAGCGGUGAAAUGCGUAGAGAUUGGGAAGAACACCGGUGGCGAAAGCGCUCUGCUAGGCCGCAACUGACACUCAUGGACGAAAGCUAGGGGAGCGAAUGGGAUUAGAUACCCCAGUAGUCCUAGCCGUAACGAUGGAUACUAGGCGUAGCUCGUAUCGACCCGAGCAGUGCCCG
rnacentral:rRNA from 1 species